AUUCCUGUGUAUCUGAGAUUUACUAAAGGGCAAAAAAUGAAGUCAGAAAAAAAAAUUCCCUGAGGAUGGAAGAUUUGAAAAGGCACCAAAGAGUAAUUUUGCCUUCUGCUGAAAGACCUGUAAUGUCAAGUUUUUGUGCGACAGGAAUCUUUGGAGGAGAAAAUUGAAAGUACUGGGGAAAAAAGGAAGCCUCCAUCCUCCACCUGCUCUGGAAGCUAAGCAGCAAAACUGGGAGAACAUCUGAAAGUUCUUCCAUCACCCUAGAGGAAAUUGCAAAGGAAAUGGUCACCCAGUCAUCAUAAAUACAGGUUCGGUUUGUUCCUGCAGGAGAUAAGGCAUUCAUAAGUAUCUCCAAUCUACUACGUCUUUCCAGACAAAACACUCCUUCGUAGUGAGGAGAGAAUUUCCAAAUUAUCUAUGAAGUGGUAUACAAUUAUUGUUUAUACUUGCUUAGAAAGAAAAAACCCUCUUUGCUAGGCUUACUUUCUUUUUCAAAUUUACACAGUACUGCAAAAAUGAAACAGUACAUAGUGAAUGUCAACCACUUAUGGCACUUCAACAAAUUAUUUAUUGUCAAGUUAAAUAUUUUUAUGAAAAAUGAACUUAAAAAUUGAUUUUAUUUUUCUUUUCUUUCCUUCCAGUAUAGACUUUUUCCUCCUGUAUAUUUUGAACUUCUGCAAAACACUAUGACAAUGUUAUCAGUCCGCAGCAGUCAGAAAGUAGAAGAAUUGCUGCACAAUUGUUGCCUCUUAGACCAUACUGAUAUUUUUUGUGCUAUCCUUUUUUAAACCCAUGAGAAGGAUUUUUAAACUGGUUUGGCAUUAGAAAGGAUAACCUAUUUCCUUGAUUAAUUGCAGCCUACAUAUAACAACAGGCUUUGAGAAGGAAAUAACUUAUGGUACCAAUUUAAAAGGAUGGCAAGAUUUUGCAAUAGCAUUCAUAUCUUUGAGAUAUUUUUUAGAAUAGCCCUGUGAAGUUAAAAUAAAACACAAGCUAUUGCAAGAGAACAAAACAAAUUGUUAGAUCAAGAGAAGUAACGAAAGCAUAUACAUUCUCAGGAGUCAUUCAUCAUUAACCGUAAGAGAGGGGACUGUGAACCCUUCAAACCAGCGCUUCUGUCCAUGUCCCAGCUCUUGCUUCCCAGGCUCUGCUCCAGGCAAGCAUUCAUUUCAGAUUAACCCCUCAAAAACCAUCUCCCAUUGCACGGUCCUGCACAUCAGUGGGCAUGUUAAGUAAGGGGCAUUCAAGGGGGGAAAAUCAGCCCUGAUUCUUUCAACAGCUUUGCUGAAUUUGACCAGGUUACCCAGCUUGCAGAGCUGGGACCUAAUAUGCAUUCUUACAAAGGGUAAGAUUUUCGAUUUUUGUCAGCCUACUUAAGCAGACAUACAAAGCUCUCCCAGCUUUUCAGCUCUCUUGGGCUGCAUAUGCUAAGAGAAUCACACCAUAGAGAAAAAUUCUUUCUUACUGAAGUUCCCUUGCAAAUGCUCUGGGUAAGGAACCACAGACCUGAUGUCAGCUACAUUUAGAUUGGCUCUAA